GUGGGCGUAGCUCAGUUGGCAGAGCACUGGGUUGUGGUCCCAGGUGUCGAGGGUUCAAGUCCCUUCGCUCACC
rnacentral:tRNA from 1 species